AUGAACUUACCAAAGACUGUUGGUGUUAUUAGUGCCAUCAAUGAGUGUGCCAAUUUGUUUCAGUGGGCGAAAUCUGCCAUUUCAUCUAUGUGCUCCCGAUGGAGUGGAUCACAUCAGAAGGUUCUUCAGGAUGAUGUAUUAUACUUGCAGAGUGGCCUACAACGUCUUAGUGAUACUCUUCCAGCAAUGUACAAUCUCAUUGAUGCAGCAGAGUGGAGGAGCCAUGAAUACUGUGUGUCAGAGCUCCUUCCGAAACUUAAGGAUGCAAUGUAUGAUGCCGAAGAACUUCUUGAUGAGCUGAGAUGGUAUGAGAUGAAAGUGGAAUUGGAGGCCAAUGCUAGAAAAUAUCCUUUUAAUGACUUCUUUGAUGUUGUCAUUCAAGGUAGCUUCAACAAACUGAAUGCUGUCCAAGCAAGGAUAGACCAUCUUUCCAGUCAGAUGGAGAAAAUGGGGUUGCGGCAAGCUACACAACACUUUGACAGAUUAGUGAGGCCUGAGACUAGCUCUUUGCCAAAUGAAGCAAAAUUAUAUGGUCGUGACAAGGAACUAGACCAGGUGAUGGGACUUCUUAGAGUACCUAUAAAUUCAAAACGCAAGAGAGCACGUAGUUCAGGCAGUGCAUCAACUAGCACAUCACCAAGGAACCAAAUUAGUCUUCCUGUUUUGCCAAUAGUCGGAAUUGGUGGUGUUGGAAAGACUACUAUAGCCCAACAUAUUUGCAACAAUAAAAGAGUGAAGUCUCACUUUGACAAGAUAAUUUGGAUUUGCGUCUCAGAUGACUUUGAUGUGAAAAGGUUAACCAAAGAGGCCAUCCAGUCUUGUUCGGGAAAGGAGGUAAGGAUUGAUAACUUGGACUCUCUUCAUCAUGCCCUUCGUGAACAUGUGAAGAAUAAAAGGUUCUUGAUUGUGCUUGAUGACAUGUGGGAUGAUGCCUUAAAAGAGAAUGGACAGUGUUGGAACAAGUUUUGUGCACCAUUAGAAAGUUUCCAAGAGGGAAGUAUGAUGUUGGUCACCACUAGAUGUCGAAAGGUUGCCGAGGGAGUGAGCACAAUGGAGCCCAUUGUAUUACAAGGUUUAAAGGAUGAUGUCUUCUGGGAUUUCUUCAAGGUAUGCGCAUUUGGAUCUGAUAGUUCUAACAAUGAUACUGAGUUAGAGCGCAUUGGUAAAAGCAUACUCGGUAAACUGAAGGGUUCACCUUUAGCUGCCAAAACUCUUGGACGCAUGUUAAGAAUGAACCUUCAAGCCUCACACUGGAAUACUAUACUGAAGAGUGAACUUUGGGAGUUGAAACAGGAGCCGACCGAUAUUUUGCCCGCCCUUCGGCUGAGCUACAUGUAUUUGCCAUUCUAUUUGAAGCGAUGCUUCUCAUUUUGUGCCGUGUACCCCAAAGAUUACAAAUUUAUAAAGGCAGACCUGGCUGAAAUUUGGGUGGCAGAAGGUUUUGUUGAAUCUCAAGGCGAUGAUCCAAUUCAAAAUAUUGGUUGUCAGUACUUUGAAGACCUUAUAAUUCGGUCCUUCUUUCAAAAAGUUAGUGGUGGAUACGUAAUCCAUGACUUGUUGCAUGACAUGGCACAAAAGGUUUCAGAGCAUGAUUGUUUCACCAUAAGAUAUAAGAAUGACUUUGAUAAAGUUCCUAAGAAUGUUCGUCAUAUAUAUGUACAGCCUAGCAGUGAUUUUGACAAUUCCAACUUGUUGAGCCUAUGCAGACACACAAAGUUGCGUACCAUAAUUUGCAAGAAGCAGUCGGGAAAUAAAACAAGUACUGUAAUGCACCACUGGUGUACUGAACUUCUGCGUAUCCGUGUGAUUUCCUGUGCCUCUACAAAUGAAUUACCAAAUAACAUUGGUAACCUGAAGCAUCUUCGAUACCUCAAGAUCUCUAAAGGUCGUCCUUUGAGCAUUCCUUCAACUUUCUGUUGGCUCUAUAAUUUGCAGAUUUUAGAUGUCAAAACAUGCAAGAUAGAAAGUUUACCCCAAGAUUUCGGUAACUUGAGCAAUUUACAGAGAUUUGAAUCACAAGGAUUUUUAUACCAUCUUGGGUGUAGCAUUGAUGUAGCUGAUAAGAAGGCACAAGGAAUUCGACUAAUCAAAAAUUUGAACCAAUUUCGUGGAGAUAUGGUAAUAAGUAAUGCUCAAAUGCUAAGCAAGGACCAUGCAACAGAAGCAGCACUGAAGAAUAAGAAAUAUCUUAACAAGUUGACGCUGGAGUGGUCAGGUGCUAGCAGGUCUCAAAUCAUGCAGGAGAAUGCGAUAGAAGUGCUUCGAGUUAUGCAACCCCUUACCAGUACCAGAUCUCUAUCACUCAAGUAUUAUCCAGGUCUUUCUCUCCCAAGCUGGUUUCAUCCACAGAACAUAAACUCAAAUGAGAUACCAGCUGUGCAUAAGAACAUUGAUGAUAGUAUUGGCAUUUCUCGGUCCCUGACGGAGCUGGACUUUCUUUGCUGCCAAGGUUUAUCAAGUCUUGACCAUUUUCUGCAUCCAGAUUAUGUACCAGCCAUCAAGAAAAUAAGUAUUAUGUUUUGCACAAGGUUAACAUCACUACCAACUGAAAGGUUUCAUAAUUUUUGUCAUCUGGAAAAAUUGAGUGUUAAUGAAUGCCCGAUUAUGAACUGGCAAAGAGGAUUGGUGUUACCAUCAUCUCUCCAAACUCUCACAUUGCAGGAAUGUGGGGAUUACUCUGCAUAAAACCUCAAAUCCCUUGUGUCACUCAGGUUGAGUGGAUGCAUGGGCGUAACGUCCAUUCCAGGCAGCAUUUGGCUCAGUAAUCCAUUACUAGAGGUAUUGUCACUGAAUAAAUUUCCCGAUCUAGUUACAAUUGGUGGAGAAAAGGCAAUUGCAAAUAUAAAGAGUGUGUGUAUAUGCGAGUGUCCAAUGUUAAUGGAAUAUGGCAGACUGUUAUGA
rnacentral:rRNA from 1 species